AAUCUAUUGUUGUAGUGAAAUUAGAAUUUAUUCAAAUUUAAGAGUUUGGUAUUGCAUGUUGUGCUGUGAGUGUAAACACCCUAACCAUGAGAGAUGUUGUGAGUAUGUGAAAAAGCUUGCAGGUAACGAGGCCUCUGAUGUGGAAAUGUGGUGGACAGUUUGAGUCGGGAAAACCGGAAACUUGAUUGGAAAGGAAGAACACAAGUUGUGAAGGACAAGGUUGCAUUGUGGAAAAUGAAUUCGUGGGUGACCUUUGUUUGGACUCAAUACAUCACUUGAGGACAAGCAAUUAGACAAGUUUGGGGUUGUGAUCGGUCACCAUUUCCAUUGAAUUCCCACCUUUUAUCCGACAUAUUUUCAUCACUUUGGUAAGAUUUGUGGUUGUUUU
rnacentral:lncRNA from 1 species